GCCGUAGCUCAGUGGCAGAGCAUCUGCUUUGCAUGCUGAAGGUCCUGGGUUCAAUCCCCAGCAUCUCUA